rnacentral:lncRNA from 1 species
UAUUUCUGAAUAGCUCAGGUCAGUGUUAGGUUGAGAGGGAGACUGUGGAGGGGUGAUAGGGUAACUAUACCCCUUCACCCUGAAACUAGCCGUUGGGAGUUAAGUUCCGAAAUUUUUUGGAACUUUUUCCGGAACCUCCGGAUUCUUCCGGAAAUUUUUUUGUAAAACUCCGGACUUCCGAAACUCCUCCGAAAACUCUAGACUUCUGGAACUCCUUUGGAAACUCUGCAAACUCUGG